UUCCUGAAUGGCUGGGAGGGAAUCGGUGGGGAGCUCCAAGAGGGUUGCGGAGGUUAGACCCUGAGAGCUCAUGCUCCCCCUACCCAACAACGUGCUGGUGUCUCAGAUGCCGCUGGACUCAAAUCUAGCUGGCUCCAGCAGAGAGACACCCUUGACGCCUUCUGGGGCCAUCUCCGGCUCCGUGUGGUGAAGGGAAAAGAGCCACCAUGCAGCCAGCUCAGGGUGGGGUGUCCUUUGAAGAGGUGGCCGUGUAUUUCACCCGGGGGCAGUGGAGCCUGCUGAGCCAAGCCCAGAGAGCUCUCUACAAGGAAGUCAUGCUGGAGAACUUUGGGAACGUGGCCUCUCUGGGUGAGGAUCUUUUUGUUCUUCCCUGACUUCUUAUUGCCGUGUGGAGCAAGG